rnacentral:lncRNA from 1 species
UUUUGGAGUUAGAGUUUGCAUGUGGUCAGCUGAGCUGUUUCUCUGGGUUACUCCUAAAGGAAGAUAUAGCCAAGGCUUCAUGGGAGAGCUCUCUCUGUUCCCUCCAUGAAUCUACACUGAAGCAGGGCUGUGCCAGAAGCAGGAAGGUAUUUUUGGAGACUGAUGCCACUGGUGACUCAAGACGAAGCCUUCAUGCCUCUCUGAUGAAGACAGGCUGUUCCCAUCAGGGGAAGGCAUGUCAGGGAAGGGCAGGACUCAUGGGAGGUGCACAGCCAUGCCAGUGCAGCCCCUGUUUGCUGAGAUGAAAGGAGCAGAGAGCUGUUCACUGAGGAAUUGUUUCAUCUUCUGGCUGAUGGAGUUCACCUCUAUGAUCCAUCCAGUCCCCAGCCUUGGUGCU